rnacentral:tRNA from 1 species
GGGCCUCUAGCUCAAUGGCAGAGCAGCUGACUCUUAAUCAGCCGGUUCUGGGUUCGAAUCCCAGGGGGCUCACCA